rnacentral:lncRNA from 1 species
CAGCCCGGAAUACAUUUAAAAAUAUCAUUUAAGUUUUCAACACUUAGAAUUAUGGCUGAGUUUGCAAAACAACAUUUAAAACCUUGGACUGAAAUUAAACGAUAUGCAAAUCAUGCUAAGCAGUAAUAUCAAUCCUCGAAGGAUUUUACAAAUUGGCACAAGGCCCCAAACAUGGCAUCAAGCCCUGUAAUAUUAAUGAAGUAUGUGUAUCAAUCACCAAUAUAGUAUAAACAUCACACGGGAUGGACCAAGUCACAAUCCCCAAUAGUAUCCGACCCCGCACUCGCUAUGGAGUGCGUGCCACGCCUCAAUAUAGCAUUACGAUGUGAAAAUCUGGGGUUUCAAACCCUCAGAACAGCAUUUACAUCUAUUACUCACCUCUAAUCGGCCGUAGACUAGUCCGCAAUGCCCUUUCCUCUUGAAUCGACCUCUUCGCGCGUCAAAUCUAGUCAAAACCACAACGAAUACGUUACAAUAGGCUAAGGGAAUAUAACCCAAUCGAAAAGACUCGAAAAAUGUCGAAAAUCCCGAAAUUAGCAAAACCCGAGCCCCGGGCCCACGUCUCAAAAUUCAGAAAUUUUUACAUCAAUACGACCCUUAUCUCGCCACGAGUAUAUACAUACCAAAUUCACAAAAAUCGGAGUUCAUUUGACCCCUCAAAUCAUCAUUUAAUUCUCUUAAGUUUCAAGCCCUAAACCACCAUUUUUGUCCAUAAUUUACUUGAGUUUUCAGCUAUAAUCCAUGUAUUUAACUUGGAAAUAAGUAGAAACAACUCACCUUUGAUACUUGAUGAAAUCCCCUUAAAAUUCUCUCCAAAAUAAUCCAAGCCAAAUGAAAGAAAUGAAAGAAAUAAGCCAAAUCCGUGUUUAAAAGAAUCUGCCCGUGCUUCGUCGAGUUGUACCUUGCACUUGUGCUAUACAAGUUGUACAUCCUAUUAAAAAUUUUCCUUGUCGGAUACCUUCUGUUUAAACACCCAUAACGUCUUGUAUAAGUAUCCAAAUGACCAACGGAUUGAAUAUUUAGAAACUAGACUCGAAGAUCUUUAAUUUGAUAGGUUGUACACC